AACGAACGCUGGCGGCAUGCCUAACACAUGCAAGUCGAACGAGACCAUCGGAACUAGUGGCGCACGAGUGCGUAACGCGGGGGAACCUGCCCUUAGGUUCGGAAUAACUCUCCGAAAGGGGUGCUAAUACCGGAUAAUGUAUUCGAAUAAAAGAUUUGUCGUCUUUGGGUGGGCCGGAGUUGGUUUAGCUAGUUGCUAGGGUAAAAGCCUACCAAGGCGACGAUACAUAGCUGGUCUGAGAGAAUGAUCAGCCACACUGGGACUGAGACACGGCCCAGACUCUUACGGGAGGCAGCAGUGGGGAAUAUUGGACAAUGGGCGAAAGCCUGAACCAGCAAUGCCGCGUGAGUGAUGAAGGCCUUAGAGUUGUAAAGCUCUUUUACCCGGGAUGAUAAUGACAGUACCGGGAGAAUAAGCUCCGGCUAACUCCGUG
rnacentral:rRNA from 1 species